UAGUUGAGGUAGGCGGAAUGUGUAAUGUAGCGGUGAAACGCUUAGAUAUUACACAGAACACCGAUUGCGAAGGCAGCUUGCUAAACUAUUAUUGACGCUGAUGCACGAAAGCGUGGGGAGCGAACAGGAUUAGAUACCCUGGUAGUCCACGCUGUAAACGAUGAUCACUCGUUGUUUGCGAUAUAUUGUAAGCGACUGAGCGAAAGCAUUAAGUGAUCCACCUGGGGAGUACGUUCGCAAGAAUGAAACUCAAAGGAAUUGACGGGGGCCCGCACAAGCGGAGGAACAUGUGGUUUAAUUCGAUGAUACGCGAGGAACCUUACCUGGGUUUAAAUGUAGGUUGCAUGAGUGGGAAACUACUCUUUCCUUCGGGACUACUUACAAGGUGCUGCAUGGUUGUCGUCAGCUCGUGCCGUGAGGUGUCGGGUUAAGUCCCAUAACGAGCGCAACCCCUAUCGUUAGUUGCCAUCAGGUCAUGCUGGGGACUCUAACGAGACUGCCGGUGUAAACCGUGAGGAAGGUGGGGAUGACGUCAAAUCAGCACGGCCCUUAUAUCCAGGGCUACACACGUGUUACAAUGGUCGAUACAAAGAGCAGCCACUUGGUGACAAGGCGCUAAUCUCUAAAGUCGAUCACAGUUCGGAUCGAAGUCUGCAACUCGACUUCGUGAAGUUGGAUUCGCUAGUAAUCGCGCAUCAGCCACGGCGCGGUG
rnacentral:rRNA from 1 species